CGGAGGGUGCAAGCGUUAUCCGGAUUCACUGGGUUUAAAGGGUGCGUAGGCGGGCAAGUAAGUCCGUGGUGAAAUCUCUGAGCUUAACUCAGAAACUGCCAUGGAUACUAUUUGUCUUGAAUAUUGUGGAGGUAAGCGGAAUAUGUCAUGUAGCGGUGAAAUGCUUAGAUAUGACAUAGAACACCAAUUGCGAAGGCAGCUUGCUACACAGUUAUUGACGCUGAGGCACGAAAGCGUGGGGAUCAAACAGGAUUAGAUACCCUGGUAGUCCACGCCCUAAACGAUGAUUACUCGACAUCAGCGAUACACUGUUGGUGUCUGAGCGAAAGCAUUAAGUAAUCCACCUGGGAAGUACGACCGCAAGGUUG
rnacentral:rRNA from 1 species